AACAUCUCGUGAUGUGGAAUGGGGGUCCGAUCUUUAGUGUACAUUUCAGAAGGAAUUAAGGAGUUCGGAGUAGUAUAUCACACUAAAGGAGACUUUGAAGUUUUGUAGAAAAUUAAUCAUAUCUCACGGAAAAUUCUUACAAACGAGUAAUUGAACAAAAUGUUCACUUACCCUUUGCUGAUGUCGAUCAGAUACAGUAGUGAAAUUAACUCAUGAACAGCUACGCAUUGUUAACCACAAUGUUCAGGCAGGGGAAGUAAUCAAAAUCAUUGCUUUUGCAGGAACCGGUAAAACUACGACCCUGGUACGCUACACCCAGAUGAGACCGUCCAUGAAGUUCCUGUUGGUUGUUUAUAACAGAUCUGUUUGUGAUUUUGCUAAAACAAAGUUUCCAAAAAAUGUAGAAUGCCAGACCGGACAUUCAUUGGCCUUCAAGUCUGUUGGAAGAAAGUUUAAAGAUGCCAAAAAGCUCCGAGAAUUGUCUGUGUUUGCCAUAACACAACUCCUUCCAUCUCGUAAAGGAGACAAUUUGUUCAUACGGGCCAAACUUGUGCAGGACACGCUCAAGGUGUUCUUUUCUUCAGCGGACCGAACAAUAUCUCUGGACCACACCCCGACCCAGAGAAUGAAUGACAAUGGAUUGCGAGUGUACAUUGAAGUGGACAAGAGAGAGUGUUAUGUAAAAGAUGCUGAAUUUCUGUGGGAGAAGAUGAAGGACUUGAGGAAUCCCAACGUUCCAAUGACACACGACGGUUACCUCAAACUGUACCAGCUGUACAGACCCAGACUCAGUAACUACGACUGUAUCCUGAUCGACGAGGCUCAGGACCUGACCCCAGCCAUAUCGGAUUUACUCCUCAGUCAGCCCCAGGCAAAGAUCCUGGUGGGGGACCCUCACCAACAAAUCUACUCCUUCAGGGGGGCAGUCAAUGCCCUCCAGCAGAUCAGGGCAUCGUUUAUCUUCUACCUGACACAGUCAUUCAGGUUUGGUCCAGAGAUAGCACAAGUGGCUGCAUACUGUAUUGAGGAACUGAAACAUGAAAAAAAGACACUGGUGGGAAAUGGGAACUCUGGCUGUGUGUAUGGAGAGACCAGUGGACAGAUAGCUGUUCUAUGUCGCUGUAACUUCACUGUUUUCUCUGAAGCGGUCAAGAAAUGUUGUUAUGCUGGGGAAACCAACAUCAGGGUUGCCUUUGUUGGGGGCACAGAUGGCUUUGGAUUUCCAAUGCUACAGGAUCUCUAUACUUUGAUGCUCUCCCCUGAAGAACGAAUUAAACAGAAACGCGUCAUUGAGAAUAAGUUAGUGAAGAAGUUUAACAGUUUUGCUGAGUUUGAGCAGUUUGCUUUGAAGACAAAUGACAUGGAGUUGCUAGGAAAGAUAAAGAUUGUGAAGACCUAUCACCAUAAUCUUCCUGUCUCCAUACACAAGAUCCUGGCCAGGACUGUAAAAGAUCUCAACACUGCAGACAUGAUCUUCAGUACGGUCCACAAAGCAAAAGGACUGGAGUUUAACACAGUGAAGUUGACGGAUGAUUUCAACGUGGGAUUGGACUUUGUGACCGGACUUUCUAGACCAGUGCCGAUCAGUGCGGAUGAAUUCAAUCUUCUAUAUGUAGCAGUGACUAGAGCUAAGCGAUCUCUCCUUAUGACUCCAACUCUGGUUAACCUGAUGAAGAGAGCAGGGGUAAUCCUAUUUUAUUUAAAGUCAAAACAUGUUUAACAUUUCUUUCCUAUUUCAUAAAAACAUAAUGCUUUACGAAGUUUGAAUUUCCGAGAUAAGUUUUCUAAACUUCCAAUUGCAUUCUUUUACUCUUUCUUUUUUUGUUUUGAUUUAAGGAGAAAUACGAGUUUCCUGUGCUGAGUUCUCAGUUGGUAACUUCCGGAGUUGUCAUGAAAUGUAAAGAGACGGACGAGGAGUUCACUCCCUUUGCUCUGACUUUACAAAAGAAACGAAUAGUAACGAGUGAUGGAGUCGUUAUUGAGGGAGGUGUUUAUGGACCAAAGAUUCUUGUGGAGAAUAGUCAUCACUUCAGAGAAUUACUAGGAGACCCCGAUCACAAGCACACACAGGCCGAGGACUUUCCCGACGAGGAGAGGGAGAUAGAGAUUAUCAUUGAUCUGGGGGUGUGAAGAUGAGAGAGAGAGAGAGAGAGAGAGAGAGAGAGAGAGAGAGAGAGAGAGAGAGACAGAAAGAAAGAUUGUGAAAGAGAAGGAGACUUCCAUGCAGUGUAAAGUGUUAUUUAACCUUUGAGAAAAACACUUAAACAGUAAAGACAGGAGAGAAAAGUGCAUCUGUAUUAGUUUGAGGGAGUGACUAUAAACUUUGUGUGUUUAUGAGAGAGAGAGAGAGAGAGAGAGAGAGAGAGAGAGAGAGAGAGAAUUUGUUUCAUUGUGAACAAAGCAAUCAAACAAUGGUGCUAAACGAUUCUGAUUACUAGUAUUCUAUAGCUGAUUUGAUUUCUUUCUACUUGGCUCUUAUUGAUAACACCAGAAAAGAAAAAUAUAAAAGCCAUUCAACAAUU
rnacentral:misc_RNA from 1 species